AAAAUAAGAAUCUCGUUGAAAAUAUAUUUGAAACUUUCUUGAAAAAAAUCCAUUUUUACUAUUUUUAUAUCACAUUUAAACAAUUAAACUUUUCUUUUUUAUAUUUAUUUUUUUUUUUUUUAACAGAAAAGGAAGGGGAUUAUUUUCUCGCGAUAGCUUUUGUAGAAUAUUUUUUUAUUGGCUCAAUUUCUCUGUUUUAUACAAAACAUCUAACAAACACAGAUGCUUCCGGCUGAAUUUACUUCGACCUGCCUUUACGAAAGCGGCUAAUCUAUCGAUUUCGCAUCUAAUGCACUCGUGCGUCUUGUAAAUUUUCGAAGGAUACGCUAAGUACAAUUGCGAUUAUCGGUUUGCGUUAACGGUGCUCAAUGUGGAUGUCUAAUGGUUAAUCUAAGGCUAACAAUAUAUUCGUAAAUGUAAUAAAAUGUGACAUAUGUAUCUGUGUAUAUGUAUGUAUGUGUGUGUAUGUGUAUGUGUGUGUGUGUGUGUGUGUGUGUGUGUGUACGUUUUUUCUUGUAUAUGUGUGUGUGUGUGUGAGUGAUAUUCAACAAUUCUGCGCUAAAGUUUAGCCGCGGAUGGGGAUGUGUGGCUAGGCCAUGAUAACCGAUUUUACAAUCUGCGUAACAUUUUUAACUAUAUACAAAAACGGUUUCUAUGAUCAUUUCAUUCAUCUUUUUCUUUUCUUUCGACCAGGACGAAGGACAGCUUUGUGUGUGCCAUUGGACUUUAUCUCAUCGUCAAUAAGUAACGCGCGGACGCGAACUCGUUCUGCAUCAUCUGCAGGGCAUCCACGUGUGCGAUCUUGGAUGGACGAUCUUACUGAGGAUACGAAACGACGUGAGAGGCGGCGAUGAUGACGUGGAUGGUCUCGACAACAUGAUAUGCCUUCGUAGAGAUCUAUUCAGCAAAAGACAUACGAUUACGGACUGGCGACGUUCUUCGAAGUCGGCGAUGUAUGUACACAACUACAUCGUGACACAUACAAGAAUUUUUUUUACGGAAUAAUCAUGUUUCAUCGACUCGGUUUACUCGGAAUAAGGAAAUAUCUGCGGGCGGUAUCGGGUGACAUGGUGCUCCAGUGAAUGUAGUCGGCCUUCUAGUUAUGGACACGGAAAACGUACGCAUACGGUCUGCUGUCUUGAACCUAUCUUACAUUCUCGAGCAUAUCAAUAAAAGUCACGACAUAGCUGGUAUCGUUAUCGUACAUUGCCUGCGAAUCAUGAAACUUCUGGAGUAUGACGAAGCUAACGAACUGUGAAUCGUAUCAAAUAGCAUACGAUUUCUAAUAAAUGGUUUGAAGAUUCUUUACCGGAUCUUACGAGAUCACAAGUUACGAAGCGAAGCUUUUACGAAAAUUGAUGGAUUA